UCCUCUGACUCAGACACACACACACACA
rnacentral:piRNA from 1 species